AGAGGGAAGAGCGAGCUAGCGCGAGCCGGGAAGGAAGCCACCAGGCCAAGGCGGUGGAACGCGCGCUCCGAGGGAGCUCAGAGCCGAGCGGGAGGACUGUCAGCUUCCAUCCAGCCCCCGGGCUCUUGCCCCCAACUCCACUGGAGCGCUGAGCUCGGAACUUGAAAAUUCUCUGCUCCCCAGGCUUCCCCCGACUCUCAUCUCCCUUGCCCUGCGGAGGCUGGGGCUCUUCCCUGUCCUCCGGCCCCCUGCGCUUGGUGGGUAUUUUUCCUUGUUUUCCUCUGAUCCAGUCGCACCAGGUGUUGGGAUUUCAGCAAGUUUUGAGGUGCAGAGGUGGUUUGCUUUUUUGUUUGUUUUACUCCGAAUCCCCUUAUGUUUUUCUUGGUAAGGCCUUGAAAAUAAAUCUGUAUGAAAGCA
rnacentral:sRNA from 1 species